AGAGUUUGAUCCUGGCUCAGGAUGAACGCUAGCUACAGGCUUAACACAUGCAAGUAGAGGGGCAUCAUUGUAUUGAUUUCGGUCAUUACAGAUGGCGACCUGCGGAUGGGUGAGUAACACGUAUCCAACCUGCCCGUCACCGGAGUAUAGCCUCCCGAAAGGGAAAUUAACACUCCGCGACAUCAUUUCGGGGCAUCCCGUUAUGAUUAAAGUUUUACGGUGUCGGAUGGGGAUGCGUCCCAUUAGAUAGUAGGCGGGGUAACGGCCCACCUAGUCGUCGAUGGGUAGGGGUUCUGAGAGGAAGGUCCCCCACAUUGGAACUGAGACACGGUCCAAACUCCUACGGGAGGCAGCAGUGAGGAAUAUUGGUCAAUGGGCGAGAGCCUGAACCAGCCAAGUAGCGUGCAGGAAGACGGCCCUAUGGGUUGUAAACUGCUUUUAUACGGGAAUAAAGUUUGCCACGUGUGGCAUUUGCAUGUACCGUAAGAAAAAGGAUCGGCUAAUUCCGUGCCAGCAGCCGCGGUAAUACGGAAGAUCCGAGCGUUAUCCGGAUUUAUUGGGUUUAAAGGGAGCGUAGGCGGGAAUCCAAGUCAGUUGUGAAACCCUGCGGCUCAACCGUAGUCGUGCAGUUGAAACUGGAUUUCUUGAGUGCGCACAGGGCAGACGGAAUUUGUGGUGUAGCGGUGAAAUGCUUAGAUAUCACGAAGAACUCCGAUCGCGAAGGCAGUCUGCCGGGGCGCUACUGACGCUGAGGCUCGAAAGUGCGGGUAUCAAACAGGAUUAGAUACCCUGGUAGUCCGCACUGUAAACGAUGGAUACCCGUGGUCGGUUUUUUUUAUUCGGUCACCAAGCGAAAGCGUUAAGUAUCCCACCUGGGGAGUACGCCGGCAACGGUGAAACUCAAAGGAAUUGACGGGGGCCCGCACAAGCGGAGGAACAUGUGGUUUAAUUCGAUGAUACGCGAGGAACCUUACCCGGGCUUGAAUUGCAGAGGAAGUCACCGGAGACGGUGAUGUCUUUAUAGUCUCUGUGAAGGUGCUGCAUGGUUGUCGUCAGCUCGUGCCGUGAGGUGUCGGCUUAAGUGCCAUAACGAGCGCAACCCCUUUUUCCGGUUGCCAUCAGGUGAUGCUGGGCACUCCGGAGACACUGCCAUCGUAAGAUGUGAGGAAGGUGGGGAUGACGUCAAAUCAGCACGGCCCUUACGUCCGGGGCUACACACGUGUUACAAUGGCCGGUACAGAAGGCAGCUCCCACGCGAGUGGUUGCGAAUCCCGAAAGCCGGUCCCAGUUCGGACUGGAGUCUGCAACCCGACUCCACGAAGCUGGAUUCGCUAGUAAUCGCGCAUCAGCCACGGCGCGGUGAAUACGUUCCCGGGCCUUGUACACACCGCCCGUCAAGCCAUGAAAGCCGAAGGUACC
rnacentral:rRNA from 1 species